rnacentral:rRNA from 1 species
UACGGAGGGGGCUAGCGUUGUUCGGAAUUACUGGGCGUAAAGCGCACGUAGGCGGCUUGGUAAGUCAGAGGUGAAAGCCUGGAGCUCAACUCCAGAACUGCCUUUGAGACUGCUUGGCUUGAAUCACGGAGAGGCGGGUGGAAUUCCGAGUGUAGAGGUGAAAUUCGUAGAUAUUCGGAAGAACACCAGUGGCGAAGGCGGCCCGCUGGACGUGUAUUGACGCUGAGGUGCGAAAGCGUGGGGAGCAAACAGG